rnacentral:pre_miRNA from 1 species
UUUGUACUCCCUUCGUUUCAUAAUUCUUGUCGAAAUAUUACAUGUAUCUAGAUACUUUUUAGAAAUAGAUAUAUCAAUUUUUGGGUAAAUUUGAGACAAGAAUUAUGGAGCGGAGGGAGUACUAU